ensembl:snRNA U1 U1 spliceosomal RNA
AUACUUACCUAGCAGGGGAGAUACCAUGAUCAUGAUUGUGGUUUUCCCAAGGUGAGGCUCAUCCAUUGCACUCCAAUGUGCUGACCCCUGCAAUUUCCCUAAAUGUGGGAAACUCAACUGCAUAAUUUGUGGUAGUGGAGUACUGCAUUCACGCUUUCCCCUG